CACUCCUGGCCCCUCGUGUGAGUUACGGCUGAGGUACGUGCACGAUGGAAAGCGUCCAGGGAUUUCCUCACUGAAAUAUCUGCAGAUAAGAGCUGACAAGCAGAAAUACAACUUGGCAAAAUCAUCCGCGGAAAACGGGAUAUGCAGAGAUGGCAGGCAGCGCAAGAGUCCUGCAGCAGAAGACGCCCCAGACGGCCAUCAGCAGGAGCGUCUGACAGCUGCUCAGUGAAAUCAUGUCUUUCUGCGGACAUUGAAACCAGGCCGUCGGAAGGGAUUCUGGGAUUCUCUGCUGAUUGUGUCCUGACCGGAGCAGAUCAGUGGCUACUCACAUUUAGCCGAAGCGGAACACAAUGUUCUGAGCACGCUCACCUCGCUUUCCCUUCCUGCGCGACUUCAAGAAAUGUGAAGAACGUAAGCUGUGUUUAUUAACAUCCUUCAAGGGAACGGCCCUUAAAGCGCAGUUUAUGCCCUCGGGAUUUACCGAAGGAUGGGGUUUACGAAUGUUUCAUGUCACAGAUUCUGUCCGUAGAUUUAAAGUGGUAAUCGCAGACAAUCCUCCUAUGGGAUGAUUUUCAGUUUUCCGUAAAACACAAAGGGAGAUGUUUGGCAGCAUGUCCAUACAGUGCAAUAAGAGGCACAGAAGAAACACAGAUUCAUUAAAUAAUGCACCUACGCAUACAUUUGACCCGUUGUUUCCAGCUUAGAUGAAAAAUCAGACGCUAAUAACAUUUAUUCCUUUUCACACAGUUAUGAUCAUAGGACGUAUUUAAUUUCACACAGUUUCUUGCACAAUUAUGGACACUUUUACAAUAGUGCAUGAACUUUAAAGUUAUAUAAAAAUACUUUUUGUUAUGCAUCAAACAACUUAGUUCCAUAUGUAUGUUUUUUUGAUAUAGUAAACCUGCUCAGUAGCGCACCUGGUGUUGCACAUUGAUAAAUUAAUAUAGUUUUUGAUAUUAUUUUAUUUCAUUUUUAAUUGCUUAAUUUUGUAGUGUGAUU